GUUCAUCGCCCGGUGACAAAGCGCAGUUCUUCUGUGUGAUGAUUUGUACCAGACAAGUAACGACCUGAUUCACGAUGGGAGUUGGUAAAUGAUAGGAAUUCGGGAACUCCUUGCUCCAUUCCCCGCCUGAAGUAAAAGAAUGAGGCGCGAUUAUACUCAUUGUAAAUGAAGAUGUCAGGAGAGCGUGGAGCUUUAGGACUACACCAAGUACCUCUGUUUUCAAAAAAGAUGAGCAUCAGAGAAUCUCAAGAACUUUGACCAAGAUCAAUCAACUCUCAGAAACUCCUGAUACAAAGGAGGUUACAAAGCCAGAAUGGGGUGCAUGAAACUGGGGAAUGGCUCCAUAUCUCUAGAGGUGAAGAUUUCAGUCAUAUGGGAUUGAGGUCCACCUAAUCAAGUAUGAACUCACCUUAACUUGACUGCAUCUACAGAAGCCUCAUUUCCCGCAAGGUCACAUUUUAGACACUAAGGACAAGAUUUCAAUGUAUGGGUAUAGCAUAUGGGGGUG